AGUGAACGCUGGCGGUAGGCCUAACACAUGCAAGUCGAACGGCAGCACAGUAAGAGCUUGCUCUUACGGGUGGCGAGUGGCGGACGGGUGAGGAAUACAUCGGAAUCUACUUUUUCGUGGGGGAUAACGUAGGGAAACUUACGCUAAUACCGCAUACGACCUACGGGUGAAAGCAGGGGAUCUUCGGACCUUGCGCGAUUGAAUGAGCCGAUGUCGGAUUAGCUAGUUGGCGGGGUAAAGGCCCACCAAGGCGACGAUCCGUAGCUGGUCUGAGAGGAUGAUCAGCCACACUGGAACUGAGACACGUUCCAGACUCCUACGGGAGGCAGCAGUGUGGAAUAUUGGACAAUGGGCGCAAGCCUGAUCCAGCCAUACCGCGUGGGUGAAGAGGGCCUUCGGGUUGUAAAGCCCUUUUGUUGGGAAAGAAAAGCAGCAGGUUAAUACCCCGCUGUUCUGACGGUACCCAAAGAAUAAGCACCGGCUAACUUCGUG
rnacentral:rRNA from 1 species